rnacentral:rRNA from 1 species
GAUGAACGCUGGCGGCGUGCCUAAUACAUGCAAGUCGAGCGAACAGACGAGGAGCUUGCUCCUCUGACGUUAGCGGCGGACGGGUGAGUAACACGUGGAUAACCUACCUAUAAGACUGGGAUAACUUCGGGAAACCGGAGCUAAUACCGGAUAAUAUAUUGAACCGCAUGGUUCAAUAGUGAAAGACGGUCUUGCUGUCACUUAUAGAUGGAUCCGCGCCGCAUUAGCUAGUUGGUAAGGUAACGGCUUACCAAGGCAACGAUGCGUAGCCGACCUGAGAGGGUGAUCGGCCACACUGGAACUGAGACACGGUCCAGACUCCUACGGGAGGCAGCAGUAGGGAAUCUUCCGCAAUGGGCGAAAGCCUGACGGAGCAACGCCGCGUGAGUGAUGAAGGUCUUCGGAUCGUAAAACUCUGUUAUUAGGGAAGAACAAAUGUGUAAGUAACUAUGCACAUCUUGACGGUACCUAAUCAGAAAGCCACGGCUAACUACGUG